AGAUAAGAGUAGCCCAAAAUAUCCCUGCACUAGUCUCUUCCUCUCCAGUAUAUUGGAGCUAGGUUCUAUUAUUUUUGUGCAUGUGUGUGCUGGUACUAGGGCUUGAAUUCAGAGCCUGGGCAUUCUCCCUUAGCUUUUUACUCAAGACUGGUGCUCUACUACUUGAUCCAUACCUCCACUUCU